rnacentral:snRNA from 1 species
GCUGAAAUGAUACAGAAAAGAUUAGCAUGGCCCCUGUACAAGAAUGACUGGCAAAUCUGUGAAGUGUUCUAUUAAAAA